GCCUCCAUAGCUCAGUUGGUUAGAGCAUGCGCUUAGUAAGCGUAAGGUCUUGGGUUCGAAUCCCAAUGGAGGCU
rnacentral:tRNA from 1 species